rnacentral:rRNA from 1 species
UACGAAGGGGGCGAGCGUUGUUCGGAUUUACUGGGCGUAAAGGGCGCGCAGGCGGCAGACCAAGUCAGGCGUGAAAGCCCCGGGCUUAACCUGGGAGGUGCGUCUGGGACUGGUAUGCUAGAGUUCGGGAGAGGAGAGUGGAAUUCCCAGUGUAGAGGUGAAAUUCGUAGAUAUUGGGAAGAACACCGGUGGCGAAGGCGGCUCUCUGGACCGAGACUGACGCUGAGGCGCGAAAAGCGUGGGGAGCAAACAGG